AGUGAUUGUCGAUUUGUCAUAAUGUAGGAGAGAGAGAGCUGUCCAUCAUUUCAAUCCACAAUUUUACAAACACUCUUUGUCUUCGGAGAAAAACUUGCAAGCAUUGUCUCUCUUUAGAUCUCUCUCACUGUCAACUACUUAAUCCUGCAACAAAUCUCUCUAUGUGAAACCAUGGAUGGAGGUGUUGCUGCCAUCGAAGUUCUUGUCCAAAACCUGAUCAAUGUUUUGAAGGAAGAGCACUCUCUACUUCGAGGUCUCGAUGGAGAUGCCGAACAGCUGCAGAAGAGUUUGCCGAACAGCUGAGAAGAAAUUCAUCACCCAAGAUGCUGUCAAGUUCUGGUUGAGGGAGCUUGGAGUUUUGGCUUUCGAUGCUGAUAAUGUCUUGGACGAACUCAGCUACCAAAUUCUCGAAAAACAGGUGAAGAAACUGAAAACCAUCAAUCCCAGUCCCGAUACCAAGGAUAAGGUAGUAUCAUGCUUCUCAUCGUGCAAAAGCAUUUCGCGUCGGCGUAAUAUGGCUAACACAAUAAAAAUAAUCAAUGCGAAGUUUGAGUCUAUGAACAAAAAGGCAACAGAUCUUGGCCUUCAAAGCAUACUUCUGAAUGCACCUGCUGCUGCUGCUGAUACUUCCAUUGAGAAUAAUUCUUUCAGUCAUGAUACAAUCUUUAUUGGAAGAGAUGAUGAUGUGCCUAAACUAGUUGACAUGCUGACACAUAUCCCCGAAGAUCGGACCUUCUCCAUCGCUGCUCUUGUUGGAAUGGGGGGUAUGGGGAGACUACGUUGACUAGGAAUGUCUUCAAUCAUCAAAGCAUAAAGGCUCGAUUCAGAACACUUAUUUGGGUUCAUGUUUCUCAAACUUUUGAUCCAAUCAGCCUUUUCAACAAAAUCCAUUCAACAUUGACUUCAAAUACUGGUCAUAGUGCUGAGAUUAAACAAGUUGUCCUGGAAAAGAUUCAAGAAGCUCUCAAGGCUAAAACUUAUCUUCUUGUUCUUGAUGAUGUCUGGAAUGAAGAUGUUUUGAAAUGGAAAGACUUUAUGAGUUCCAUGGAGGGAGUUACGUCUACCAAGGGAAAUUGCAUUAUCAUUACUACCAGGAAGGAAAAUGUUGCUUCAAUUGCUGAUCCAUUUUAUGUUCAUCCUUUAAAAGGCUUAUCUGAUAAUGAUUGUUGGUCCAUAAUAAAAGCAAAUGCUUGUGAUGGAAAUGGAGAAUUUCGAUCGCGAUUUGAGAAUAUAGGAAGAGAGAUAGCAACAAGAUUUCAGGGUUUGCCCUUAGCUGCCAAUGUAGUUGGGGAUGUGCUUCGCCGCUGCAAGUCGGAACAAGAGUGGCGUUCCAUCAAAGAAAAUUGGCUCUCGGAUGAUGAAGGAGGUGAAAAUAUCUCAAAAAUAUUGAAACUGAGUUUUGAUCAUUUACCUUCACCGUCACUGAAGAAGUGUUUUGAAUAUUGUUCGAUUUUUCCAAAAGGUUGGAAAAUCAAGGAGGAGCUGAUUGAACUAUGGAUGGCAGAAGGGUUUCUUCAACCAAGCCAAAAAGAUGAUAUGGAGUCUGUGGGAAACGUGUUUUUUAAUAGGCUGCUACAGAACACUUUGUUGCAAGCUGCAGACAGAUGAUUAUGGAAAUGUAGAAAGUUGCGUGAUGCACGAUCUCGUGCAUGAUCUUGCUUCUUCAAUUUCAUCUAAUAAUGUAGAUGGAAGCAACCCGGUUCGAUACAUGAUUCUUAAAGAACAAUCAAAUCAUAUUCCGGAACAAGAGGCCAAGCAUUUGCGAACAUUACUCUUGGAAGGUGAAACUUCUUGUACCAUGUUCUCAAAUUUCAAAUGUCUGCGUAAUCUUACUCUCACUAGCAGAAGUUUUACAAAGUUGGCCGUUUCAGUUAGGGAGUUGAUACAUUUGAGAAAUCAUAACAUAUCAAGUACAAGAAUUAAAAACUUUCCAGAGUGGAUUGGUGAACUCCAUCACUUGCAAACAUUUAGAGCAGAAUAAUGGGAAUUAGAGAAACUGCCAAGUACAUUGAAGUACCUGAUUAACUGAAGGCAUCUUCAUCUAUGGCCGGUUACAAAGUUACCUGCUGAGAUUGGGAAAUUAACUAGUCUACAAACACUACGACACUUUGAAGUGGGCAUAGAGAAGGGCAACCAAAUUGAAGAGCUUGGAACUUUGAAGAAUCUCAAUGGAAAACUAAAGAUUCAGCAUGUGCACGACAAGGAAGAGGCCAUGAAAGCAAAUAAGUCAAACUUGGAUGAGGAUAGUUAUGAUGAUGGAAAUGAUGAGAGUGUGUUGGAAGGCCUCCAACCUCAUGCAAGUCUGAAGGUGUUGAAGAUAAUCGGAUUCAGAGGAAAAACAUUUCCAACAUGGUGUAAGAAGAUGGCAGUAUGGGAUGGUUCUCAAAGCUCUUGGGUACCACUCAAUAACUUGAGUGAGGUAAGACUUGUGGAGUGCUCAGAGUGUGAGGAAAUCCCAAUGCUGGAGCACUUGCCUAAUCUCAAAACUGUUAUUUUGUUGGGAUUGAAGAAGGUGAGGUUCAUAAAUUCCUCAUUCAAAAAUUUGAAAUCUCUCCUAUUAUAUAAUUUAGAGGGAUUACAAUGUUUGCCAAAAUCAUGAUUCUAUAACAAUCAAAGUCUGUCAAAUUUAGGGAUUGUAGAGUGCCCUAUGUUGAGUGAAUUACCAGAUGGACUGGACACCCUCGAGUCACUAGAAGAAUUGAUCAUCAAGGAUUGUACAAAUCUGAAGUUGAUUGAGAAUUUGGCACGCGGAGCAAACAAAUAUCAAGGAAUCCUCUGCAAGCUUAGAAUUGAAGGGUGCGAAAAGCUGAUGGAAUUGUCAUGUCAAAUGCUAGAGUCGUCCAUCCCCACAAGCAAGAUACUCAGAUUGGUAGGAUUAAGGAGCCUAAAGAAUCUAGCAAUGCUAAUUGACUGCCUCGCUAAAUCAUCUCAUCGUCUCAAAGAAUUGGCAAUCACGGGUGUUCCUAAUUUCAUGGCUAGUGGUUUUAUUGAGAGUUGGAGAUGUGAGUGGUCAAGGGAGAGAAGUGUUGGAUGGCAUGCUGCAAUCAGUUCAAUACCUCACUGCUCUUUCUUGGUUGAAGUUAGAGAAUAUUGGGGUACAAGAAUUGGCACAAUGGUUGGGGAACCUCUCAUCUAUGUGGAAGUUAAGUCUAGUUGGUUGUAACAAGUUGAGGUGUCUGCCCUCUUCAGAUGUAUUGAAGAUUGUCCAUUUCUACGUAUUGAUCCAGAGUGGCGCAACCAUCCCAAUCUCGAGAUCAAGGUUGGCAAUCGCCCCUCCAUUUCAGAAGUUUACAGUUGCAGUUAACAAGGCUCUUGUGUACCACUUGAUAUCUUGAUUGAGAUAACACUUAUGGGGUGCUCGGAGAUCCCAAAUUUAGAGAGGUAGAAUAGAGGCGGUUUUUGGCAUUCCAUACUCGAAAUUGACCAAGAAUAAGGAGAAAGGGAGAAGAAGAGCAAGCAUCCAGACUCCAUGUCAGAGACAAACAACUACCGACAAUCCUAGAACAUCAUGAAUACUACGCUUUGGUUUUCAUUACGUUAGUGUGAUUUAUCUUAGCAUGUGUGAUUAGUUCUUCUUGGUUUAAAUUCGGUAUUUAAUCUACUGCUUUAGUUUUCUUA